AAAAGGAUUCACAGGCUUACUAUCUCACAACAACCCUGGCAAGCAUACAAAAUUCAAAAUACAAAACUUCCAUCACAAAAAUGCAAGAGUACAACAAAUGCACUAGAAGAACACCAAAUGCCAGAGUGCUGCAUCUGCAAAAGGUGCAUAGAUCUAACAUCCUUUACAAUGUAACGCACCCUUUGUCAUCAGAUAUACAAAGGACCUGCUAAAAACAAUAGAUCUAACAAGUUCACUUUUCUUUUUCAUUUGGCAGAGAGUGAUAGCUUUGUCAUAAAAUUAGUGUAACUGAGAUGAGGAUGCUAUGAUCAGCACAUCGAGACUAUGACCAAAUUAAUAAGUGCAUCUGCAGAGAGGUGAUGAAAUUAUGGAAAGGUCAUAAAAAUGGUUCAAUCAUGUUCAACAUGAAGCGAGAAGACAUACAUGGAUGCACUAGUGAGGAAUAGUGAUCAGAUUGAAGUACUGGAGGUGAAGGGGAAGACAAACCAAAAUGACAUGAAUUAAACCAGUAUCUUUUAGCAUGACAACAUCAUUUAGAAGCUCAACCCAACAUAACAUUGACAGGAUAAGACAGAACCGAGUAGCUGACCACAACUCAGGUAUUUCAUUCUUGGGGCUUAAAAGAAUAAAAUUCAAUUAAGAUCCUUUUUCUUUUCCAACCAAGUAAACAGGACAGCUCAGAGGAGACUCCUAAACAUACAAAUCUGUAAUUUGAACUAAUAUAUUGUGAAAAUAGCAUGAAUCAGCUAGGGAUGGUACUCUAAACUUGUAAACAAUAUGCAAUUAAGUAAAUUAUUAGAAUGAAUCCCAAUCAAAG
rnacentral:lncRNA from 1 species